rnacentral:lncRNA from 1 species
AGCAAAUGGCGUCAGAAGUACAAACAGUUGAGUUUCCUCUCCUCUCCUCUCCUCUCCUCUCCUUUCCUCUAUCUUUCAGCCAUUCUCCCAGCCAUCCACAGCAGUGCUGGGAGAUGUUAAGUCGUGUCCUGCUUCCUUCUAGGUGUGUCCAGCAGACCAAUGAGGAGAUGGCUGUGUUACACAAGGACAAGCUUCUCAGACUUAAGGAAUUAAAGAGGCUUAAGGUGCAGCUAAGCAUCAGUUGUGCUGAGACAAAGAUCUAUAGCGAGAGUAUCUUGAGCAGAUGGGACAACGCUGCAGACACCACAAACCACAGACCGCGGCUGGAGCCCAGCGCUGGCCAGAGGGGUGACUCAGAUGACAGCAGAAACACGGAGGAGAGCCCCAAACCCCCCGAGGACCCGGGGGAGCAGGCCUGACUGCCACGCGUCUUAUACUCAGUUGCACAGCAAAGACUUUAAGCCUCGUGUUUGAAAUACUGUGCAUAUCAGCAAAAAACCUUCAAGUCUCAUAAAUUUAGGUUAUUAUAAUACAUGUUAUUUAGUUAAUGCCUAUUACUAUCACUGUACAUUCUGAACAUACAACAAUUAUUUAAUACUUCGACUUUAACUUAGACUUAGAGUUUUCCCACUCUAGCUGUGAGUGAGGCAUGGGCUGACAAGCUGGUCUGCUACCUGUCAAAGAGGUAUCAAGGAAGUAAGUAUUUUAUGACAGCAGUUCAGCAUGACGACCCUAUAUCCUGUUCAACAGGAAGUCAUAAAAGACGGGCCUUUCCUGAAGUUAGAUUACCCCCUGCUGUAGUAUACAGUAGCUUGCAGUGUCUUCUCUCUCUCCCCCCCCCCCUCUCUGUCUCCUCUCUUUUUCUCUCUCUCUAUCUCUCUCUCUAUCUCUCUCUGUCUCUCUCUCUCCUCGCUCUCUUUCUCACUGACCCUCUCCUUUCUCUUCCUUUCUCUGACAUUAUGUAAGUGUGUGAAGUACUUGACAGUAAAUCUGUGAAUUUGCAGUAUUGUCCAUACAUUUAAACUGACAAGGGUCAUGCACGCAAUACAGUUUAUCAUCUUCAGCUUUCUGCUGUAACAAAUGUAGCUGUAAAUAGGCAUAUUUAAUUCAUCUCAUAUAGGUUACAAUGAAAACAAGAAUCCACAGCUCAAAGGAACUGCAAUGUUCAAGAGGCAUUAUCUUGUCAGAGACUAAAUACCACUUUUUAGGUCAGUGGAUGUAUUUACAACAGUGGUCAUUGUCUGCGUUUAGUACAACGGCAACUGUAGUAGAAUGUCCAGUUCUGUCUAUAGUGGCAAAGGAUGGUGUAUGACCCAGAAGAUGUCUGUUAUCCCUCUUCAAAAGAGUUAUGUUUCCUCCGGGUGCACUGUACAUAUCAUCAUCAUCAUCAUUGUUUAUUCAGGGAGAAAUUGACUGAGCACAGGGCUCUUUUGCAGCAAUGCCCUGAUUGAGGCCACAUAGUACAGAAGAACAAUACAUAAACAAACCACAACAAAACGAAACAGACAAAAUACAUUUAAAAAAAAAAAACACACACCAAACAACUCAGAAAUUAAGCAUAAAAAAUAAAUAAAUAAAAUAACAUAAAGUAAAAAAAAUU